AGUGAACGCUGGCGGCAGGCCUAACACAUGCAAGUCGAACGGCAGCACAGGGGAGCUUGCUCCCUGGGUGGCGAGUGGCGGACGGGUGAGGAAUACAUCGGAAUCUGCCUAUCUGUGGGGGAUAACCUCGGGAAACCGGGACUAAUACCGCAUACGACCUACGGGUGAAAGCCGGGGACCUUCGGGCCUGGCGCGGAUGGAUGAGCCGAUGUCGGAUUAGCUAGUUGGAGGGGUAAUGGCCCACCAAGGCGACGAUCCGUAGCUGGUCUGAGAGGAUGAUCAGCCACACUGGAACUGAGACACGGUCCAG
rnacentral:rRNA from 1 species